UACGUAGGGUGCAAGCGUUAAUCGGAAUUACUGGGCGUAAAGCGUGCGCAGGCGGCUAUGCAAGACAGAUGUGAAAUCCCCGGGCUCAACCUGGGAACUGCAUUUGUGACUGCAUGGCUAGAGUACGGUAGAGGGGGAUGGAAUUCCGCGUGUAGCAGUGAAAUGCGUAGAUAUGCGGAGGAACACCGAUGGCGAAGGCAAUCCCCUGGACCUGUACUGACGCUCAUGCACGAAAGCGUAGGGAGCAAACAGG
rnacentral:rRNA from 1 species